CCUACGGGGGGCAGCAGUGGGGAAUAUUGCACAAUGGGGGAAACCCUGAUGCAGCGACGCCGCGUGAGUGAAGAAGUAUUUCGGUACGUAAAGCUCUAUCAGCAGGGAAGAAAAAAAGUCCUUUGGACUUUGGACGGUACCUGACCAAGAAGCCCCGGCUAAAUACGGGCCAGCAGCCGCGGUAAUACGUAGGGGGCAAGCGUUAUCCGGAUUUACUGGGUGUAAAGGGAGCGUAGAAGGCCGCGCAAGUCUGGAGUGAAAUGCCGGGGCCCAACCCCGGAACUGCCUUUGAAACUGGGCAGCUUGAGUGGGAGAGAGGUAAGCGGAAUUCCUAGUGUAGCGGUGAAAUGCGUAGAUAUUAGGAGGAACACCAGGGGCGAAGGCGGCUUACUGGACUGUAACUGACGUUGAGGCUCGAAAGCGUGGGGAGCAAACAGGAUUAGAUACCCGGGUAGUC
rnacentral:rRNA from 1 species